rnacentral:rRNA from 1 species
UGGGGAAUAUUGCACAAUGGGCGAAAGCCUGAUGCAGCAACGCCGCGUGAGUGAUGAAGGCCUUCGGGUUGUAAAGCUCUGUCUUCUGGGACGAUAAUGACGGUACCAGAGGAGGAAGCCACGGCUAACUACGUGCCAGCAGCCGCGGUAAUACGUAGGUGGCAAGCGUUGUCCGGAUUUACUGGGCGUAAAGGAUGCGUAGGCGGAUACUUAAGUCAGAUGUGAAAAUCCCGGGCUUAACUUGGGAACUGCAUUUGAAACUGGGUAUCUAGAGUGCGGGAGAGGAAAGUGGAAUUCCUAGUGUAGCGGUGAAAUGCGUAGAGAUUAGGAAGAACACCAGUGGCGAAGGCGACUUUCUGGACCGUAACUGACGCUGAGGCAUGAAAGAGUGGGGAGCAAACA